AGGCGAGGUCCGCCCGCCCGCCGCGCUCCUUCCCGGGGCCGAGGGACUGGGAACCAAAUGGAGGUUGUGGGAGUCUGGUGGCCGUAAAGCUCCCCCGGGUGCUAACAGGAAAGCUGUAAACAGUUGCAUCAGGAGCUUGCUCAAGGAAAUAUCCUGGGGUUUUCUUCCUUUGCCGCUUACCAAACCAGGCCAGGUCUGGACUCCAAGAAGCGAGCAGCCACAGGUACAAUACUUCGGAUUCCAUGAACGUCAUGAUACUCAUUUUCUUACAAGUGUACAGUGAAGGUUUUUAGAGGCUACUUGACAUGUCCUCUUACAAAAAAGAAGACAGAAGAACCUCUUGUUAAGCCAGACAUUAAAGAGAUUUAAGAAAAGGAUUCCAGGGGCUGGCCCUGUGGCCGAGUGGUUAAGUUCACGCGCUCCGCUGCAGGCGGCC